rnacentral:rRNA from 1 species
GUAGGGUGCGAGCGUUAAUCGGAAUUACUGGGCGUAAAGCGUGCGCAGGCGGUUUUGUAAGCCAGAUGUGAAAUCCCCGGGCUUAACCUGGGAAUGGCAUUUGGGACUGCAAGGCUGGAGUGUGGCAGAGGAGACUGGAAUUCCUGGNGUAGCAGUGAAAUGCGUAGAUAUCAGGAGGAAUACCGAUGGCGAAGGCAGGUCUCUGGGCUGACACUGACGCUCAUGCACGAAAGCGUGGGGAGCAAACAGGAUUAGAUACCCUGGUAGUCCACGCCCUAAACGAUGUCGACUGGUUGUUGGGGGUUUGACACUCUCAGUAACGAAGCUAACGCGUGAAGUCGACCGCCUGGGGAGUACGGCCGCAAGGUUA